GCAAGUGCCUGAAGACGAGCUCGCGCCUGAUUAGCUAGUUGGUGGGGUAAAGGCCCACCAAGGCGACGAUCAGUAGCUGGUUUGAGAGAACGAUCAGCCACACUGGAACUGAGACACGGUCCAGACUCCUGCGGGAGGCAGCAGUGGGGAAUUUUCCGCAAUGGGCGAAAGCCUGACGGAGCAAUACCGCGUGAGGGAUUAAGGCCUGUGGGUUGUAAACCUCUUUUCUCAAGGAAGAAUCAAUGACGGUACUUGAGGAAUAAGCAUCGGCUAACUCCGUGCCUGCAGCCGCGGUAAUACGGGGGAUGCAAGCGUUAUCCGGAAUUAUUGGGCGUAAAGGGUCUGUAGGUGGCUAGAUAAGUCUGUUGUUAAAGACUGGGGCUUAACCCCAGGAAAGCAAUGGAAACUGUUAAGCUAGAGUGUGGUAGAGGUAGAGGGAAUUCCUAGUGUAGCGGUGAAAUGCGUAGAUAUUAGGAAGAACACCGGUGGCGAAGGCGCUCUACUGGGCCAUAACUGACACUCAGAGACGAAAGCUAGGGUAGCAAAUGGGAUUAGAUACCCCAGUAGUCCUAGCCGUAAACGAUGGAUACUAGAUGUUGCGUAACUUGAUUAUGCAGUGUUUUAGCUAACGCGUUAAGUAUCCCGCCUGGGGAGUACACUCGCAAGGGUGAAACUCAAAGGAAUUGACGGGGGCCCGCACAAGCGGUGGAGCAUGUGGUUUAAUUUGAUGCAACGCGAAGAACCUUACCAAGGCUUGACAUGUCACGAAUCUUCUUGAGAGGGAAGAGUGCCUUCGGGAACGUGAACACAGGUGGUGCAUGGCUGUCGUCAGCUCGUGUCGUGAGAUGUUGGGUUAAGCCCCGCAACGAGCGCAACCCUUGUCUUUAGUUACCAUCAUUUAGUUGGGGACUCUAGAGAGACUGCCGGUGACAAACCGGAGGAAGGUGAGGACGACGUCAAGUCAGCAUGCCCCUUAUGCCUUGGGCUACACACGUGCUACAAUGGCUAAGACAAAGAGCAGCAAGCUUGCAAAAGUUAGCGAAUCUCAUAAACUU
rnacentral:rRNA from 1 species